ACGUUCGGAUCGCAGCCUGCAACCCGGCUGCGUGAAGCUGGAAUCGCUAGUAAUCGCGGAUCAGCAUGCCGCGGUGAAUACGUUCCCGGGCCUUGUACACACCGCCCGUCACACCAUGAGAGUCGGGAACACCCGAAGUCCGUAGCCUAACCGCGAAGGGGGGCGCGGCCGAAGGUGGGUUCGAUAAUUGGGGUGAAGUCGUAACAAGGUAUC
rnacentral:rRNA from 1 species